AAGGGCACCACAAGAACGCGUGGAGCAUGUGGCUUAAUUUGACUCAACCGGGAAAUCUUACCGGGUCCGGACACACUGAGGAUUGACAGGCAAUUAUUGUGCUUUGUAACUUUUUUUUAAGUUGCUUACACAACAACAAAUUAUGCUAGUCCUUUCAUGAUUAUGUGAUAGGUGGUACAUGGCCGUUCUUAGUUAGUGGAGUGAUCUGUCUGCUUAAUUGCGUUUCAUCAGGGACCAUGUUUAUUUAUGUACUUUCUUACUCGCUUUUUAAGCACUUUUUGUGUUUUUUAAGCUUGUACUUUAGUGCAAUUGGUCCUGAAAGCAACGAACGUGACCGCAUCCUCUUGUUGCCUUUUUAACUUGAGUUGUUUACACUUCUCAUAACAUAAGAGGCUUUCCUAAAACUAGAGGGACCGCUGCGACUUUUUUAAACCAGAGGAAGGUUGCGGCAAUAACAGGUCUGUGAUGCCCUUAGAUGUUCCGGGCUGCACACGUGCUACAAUGAUUAUUGCAGUGAGCAUCUCAUUUUAUUUUUUGUGCUUGUCUUGUCUGACUCUUUUACGAGGGAAAGACGACAGCCUUAGCCUGCUUCGAAAGUUCGCAGGUAAUCAAUUGGAAGUAAUGAUUUCCCUUUCUCUUUUUUUAUUACAUAUAUAUUUUUUUGUGAUUUCUUUAAUUAAGCGAGCACACAAUAUGUCUGCUCUCUCGCCCUGUCUGUAGUCUUUUGUAGUUUUCUUUUUUUAAAGUCUGCUCUCAAGCUCAGAUUGUGUUUUGUGGGAGUGUGUUUGUCUUUUACUUUAGCGUGUGUCUUGUAUUUAUAUGAGGUGCAUUGUCUUUAGUCUUAAAAGCAACUAUCAGCAUGUGCUUUUUGUUAAUUCAAGGUGGGGACAGACCAUUGUUAAUUAUUGGUCUCGUUUCAACUAGGAAUGCCUUGUACGGGUCUUUGGUUCAACAAACCACCCGGAAUACGUCCCUGCCCUUUGUACACACCGCCCGUCGCUCUUACCGAUGGACUUCUCUGUGAGUUUGAGGGACUGGGUUGCUUACUCUUAUGUCAAGCAAACACCUAUGGAAACUUAAACGAACAGUGUGGUCUAAAGGAAAGAGAAGUC
rnacentral:rRNA from 1 species